UGAGGAAUAUUGGGCAAUGCCCGCAAGGGUGACCCAGCAACGCCGCGUGGAGGAUGAAUGUCGUAAGAUUGUAAACUCCUGUUAGAGGGGAAGAAUAGUACCGGUUGGACCGGUAUAUGACUGUACCCUCAGAGAAAGCCCCGGCUAACUACGUGCCAGCAGCCGCGGUAAUACGUAGGGGGCAAGCGUUGUCCGGAUUUACUGGGUGUAAAGGGCGCGCAGGCGGGAUAAAAAGUCAGUGGUGAAAUCCUACAGCUUAACUGUAGAACUGCCUUUGAUACUUUUAUUCUUGAGUUCGGGAGAGAGACGGAAUUCCAGGGGUAGUGGUGAAAUACGUAGAUAUCUGGAAGAACACCAGUUGCGAAGGCGGUCUCUUGGUCCGACACUGACGCUGAGGCGCGAAAGCGUGGGUAGCAAACA
rnacentral:rRNA from 1 species